GUGACAGAGUGAGACCCUGUCUUAAAACAAAUAAACAAAUAAGAAAAUGGUACACAUUUCUCCUGUUGAGCCACAAGAGGGAGGGGCUGUGUGAACCUCAUCUGUAGUUUAGGGGCAGCUUUUAUUGGAGUUUCUUUACCACCGGCUUUAAAUGUGUUCAGAGUAGAAUUAGGACUUUCCCUUCAGCAGAGCUUGGGAUCUUAGCCCUGGCAGAAUUCCAGGGAUGUCUUUAUGUUUUAAAGUCGCCAGCUUUUGGAACUGUGGGAGGCCUCUGGUAUUCAGCCCUGCCGCUAGACUGUGGGGCCACUGGGGUGCUCUCCGCUCCCCAGUCUCGCCCCCACUUCUGUACCUCAGGAGGUUUCUCUGCACCUCACUCCCUCGCGCCCAACCUUCCAUGAAGCCCGUGUGAGGGAGUUGGCAGGGGGCAGAGGCGGGCUGUGCUGGGGCUCCCUGGAGUCCUCAUCUGUCACGCCAGUCCCCACGCGGUCAUGAACUUCCACUCAUUUCCCCUCACGCAGGGCAUCCCGCCCUGCUGCCUCGCACCAGGGUGAAAGCUGUGGGCUCCUUCCCCAAGGAAGGGCUCGUCCUGUCUGCAUUUUGAUUAAUUUAGGUCCCUUUGCAUUGCCAGCUCUCAGAUGGCUUUACCUUUGAUUUUGUUGCUUGUUUGGCUUGUUUUCAUCUUUAGGGCGAGACAGUCUUUUGUAACUUUUCUACCUUCUGACUAGAAGUGGAUGCCGCCUGCAUUUUCUUAACACCUUUUUCCCCAGCUUAUUUUGGAAAUCGUCAAACCUACAGAGAGCUGAAAGAACAGUACAGUUAACAUCUGUCCACCCUUCACACAGAUUCACCACUUGUGAACAUUUUAAUGCAUUAACUUUAUGUGUCUGUCUACUUAUUUAUGCAUUUGUAUGUGUAUACUUUUUCCUUUUUUUUCCCCUAACCCAUUUGAGAGUAAGUUGCAGCCAUCAUAACCUGGAUCUCCCCAAAAACAAAGACGUCCUCUUGUGUGACCACAGUUGAAUUGUCCUACCUUAGAAAUUCAUCCUCGAUGUGAUAAUACUGACUAAGGUAGACAGUCCACAGGCCAUCCGGAAAAUCUGGAAACAUUGACAAAUAUGCAUGUCAUUGUCAAGGUCAUCUCCAAUCUGUGAAAAAUAAAUCAUCUGCAUUUCUAGACAUCUAUUAGUAUUUUAAUUCUCCCCAGCUCUCCCCAAAACAUCCUUUUUAGCUGCUUUUAAAAAAUUCAGCGUCCGUUGAAAGCACCAGUGUUGCCUAUGACCUGCCUUUUUACCUCUUUUUACCUAGAAAGUCUCACUUCUUUUUUGGGAGACUCUUUUAUGACAGUGACAUUGCGCUGUGUCCAGGCCAGUUCUUUUAUAAAAUGUUCUACGAUCUGGAUUCAUGCAUGUAUUUCCACAUGAUGCUGAGUAUUUUAAGAUAAUUCAAGAAUCAGGUUUUCGUAUGAAACGAUCGCAAUGCUUCGGCACUGCACAGGCCACAGAAGCCUGCGGCUGCCUCCGGCCCCGCCUGCUCCCGCUCCCCCAGGCCUGCCCUGCCCUUUUUCUUCUCUUCCUGCUUCUCCCUCGCCCUCAGCCCAGCAGCGUCUCAUGGGCAGUCCAGGCUUUCGGGGCCGGGUUGGGCAGCAGCCCCUGCAGCCGGUCCCACUGAGUCUGCCCUGCCUUCCAGAUUCUGGUACAGGUCAAAGAGGUCCUCUCCAAGCUGAGCACGCUCGUGGAAACCACACUCAAAGAGACAGAGAAGAUUACAGUAUGCGGGGACACCCAUGGCCAGUUCUAUGACCUCCUCAACAUAUUCGAGCUCAACGGUUUACCCUCGGAGACCAACCCCUAUGUAUCCUUCUCAGCAGAGCCACCCUCUCCCCACCUCCACCCCCAGCCGCAGCCUCAGGUCUGCACAGAGUGGGAGGAGCCCCUGCCAGGAAAAGACAUGACCUUGGAAAGGAGAGGCCUG
rnacentral:sRNA from 1 species